rnacentral:rRNA from 1 species
UACGUAGGGUGCAAGCGUUAAUCGGAAUUACUGGGCGUAAAGCGUGCGCAGGCGGUUAUGUAAGACAGGGGGGAAAUCCCCGGGCUUAACCUGGGAACUGCAUUUGUGACUGCAUAGCUAGAGUACGGCAGAGGGGGAUGGAAUUCCGCGUGUAGCAGUGAAAUGCGUAGAUAUGCGGAGGAACACCGAUGGCGAAGGCAAUCCCCUGGGCCUGUACUGACGCUCAUGCACGAAAGCGUGGGGAGCAAACAGG